CAGAAACCCGACCUGAGGGUUUCCCCAAAACCCCUCUGGGGGAGGAGGAGCUAGGCCAACCCCAAACCAAGGCAACGCUUCAGUGCAGAGCCGAUCACCUCCCUUGGGCAUGGAGCUGCCCUGUGACAGAUAACUCUAGUCCUCAUCUCACACCAGGGAGACUUUUCUGUGUGACUGACAGAGACCAUUACAGAAGACCACAACCAAUCAAAAUGCAGAGUUGUGAAGCCCAGUGUCAAUGGAUUCCUCUACAAUACAACUCCAGCUCCUAAGACUUGGGCAACAUUGUGGAAGAGUGGAUGGAAAGACCGUAGGGCUAACACGAAAGGAGAGAAUCCCAGGAGGCCUCAAUUGUACAGAAAGGCCUACAGGCAACGAAGGAGGACUGAAAUCAGAAGAUAAAAGUUUUCCCCUGGAAAGGGCACACCAAUUGGUUAUCCAGUACUAAAAAUGGUCGUCCCUGAGAACAUACAAGUAAAAUACGAAGAAGGAUGGAUGUACUUAGGCAUUUAGGAGUGUGUGUGUGUGUGUGUGUGUGUGUGUGUGUGUGUGUAAAACAACAGCUCAUGAAAGAACAGGCAAUGAAUUUGAAAAA